CUUUUACAAUGAAGAGUUUGAUCCUGGCUCAGGAUGAACGCUAGCUACAGGCUUAACACAUGCAAGUCGAGGGGCAGCAUGGGAGUUUGCUUGCAAACUUCCGAUGGCGACCGGCG
rnacentral:rRNA from 1 species